ACAAAAAUGAUAUUGAAAGGAAAACAUUAACCCACAAGUGUUGAGGUCAAAUAAAUAACAUAGCAAGGAAAUAAUUUUGAAAGGCAAGAACAAAUAAAUUGUAAAUGAAUGAGAAAAAAAUGGUUUUCAUUUAAACAUUUUCAAUGAUUGCGAAGAAACGCACGUUACCCUGACCGCCCUUUGUUUUAGCCAUUUAGGCGGGGUUUAAAGGGAGGCGUAGAAGAUGCGUCUCUAUUGGUCAACUGGUUUUGGAAUGACAGGUCAUCCUUGAUUUGUUUUCACUUUUUUAAACGUAUUUAACUUUUCCAUUUCAGAUAAAAAGGUCUCAGUGGCUACUAGCUAGCUAGCUAGCGUAAAAUGUACGACAAGAAGGACAUCGCGAAACAUCCUAGGUAAAUGUAUUUUUUAGGUAGCUAAGUUAGCAUGGUUAUAUAAUUUAUAUCACCGGUAGCAAGCAAGAUAUGAUGCCCUGAACUUACUCUGAAGUUACUCUAGAGGUACAGUAUGUGGCUAUUCGAGAACAAGGGCACUAUUAACCCUUUCUAGCAUAAUAAUGGGCUAAAGGAGCCUACCAUUCAUUCCUACUAUUCCAAUGACUUUUUCUGUUUAAAGGGCGAAUUGGCUCUGGAAGCCAAAACAGCCAAAUACUCCAUCUAAACAUGAGUCGAUUCUCAAUUGUGGUACGGUUCUAUAAACAUAAAUCCCUCUACUUUCAUAUUACAUAAAAAAUAAUUUCACAAAUACAAAAUACACACUUAGAGGAGGAACUAUAGGAGGAAGGGCUUAUUCUAAUGGCUGGAAUGGAAUCGAGUCAAACAUAAUUCCCUUCGUUACAAUGAGCCCAUCCUCCUAUUGUUUCUCCCACCAGCCUCCUCUGGUGUACACUGCUUUUACCGGUUUAAACAGUUGUUUUAAGUGACAACGUGUUUGUAACGUCUGUCUUUGUUUACACACAGGUGUUUGGAGACACAGAUAGUUAAUUAGCACAGGUAGCACUCUGUCUACUGUCUGUUUUCAGUAAACAAGCGCUGUAACAUGGAAAUAUGGCAGCGUGGAAACCCUAACCCUAGAAAAGUGUGUAUCAAUUUAACCUUUAGUUAAUUUAAAAAAAAUCUAUUGCCAAUAUGAAAGAUAAGGUCCUAAUGCUUCCAAAACUGUACCACAAGCAAUGCGUGUUAGUAUUCAAACCGAGUGUUGCGGCUCUUAACAACCCCCCCCCCCCCCCUCUACACAAGACGUCUUUGUCCAAUGACUUUUAUGUGUAAUGUUUUGGAAUUGAGUCAUGAUCAAGGCUAGCCCUUCUCAUGACUCCAGUGCUGUAUGGCUUUGGGCUCUCCAGAGCUAUGGCACUACUACCUGAAAGCUUGUCAUCAGAGUGUGAUUGUACUAUAGACAAUUAUGUUUUGCAUCUGUUCAGGAGUCUUAUGACUUGGGGGUAGAAGCUAUUUAGGAGCCUCUUGGACCUAUACUUGGUGCUCCGGUACCGCUUGCUGUACAGUAAAGUAAACAGUCUAUGACUAGGGUGACGGGAGACAAUUUUUAGGGCCUUCCUCUGACACCUCCUGGUAUAGAGGUCCUGGAUGGCAGGAAGCCUGGCCCCAGUGAUAUACUGGGCCGUACGCACUACCCUCAGUAGUGCUUUGCGGUUGGAGUGCUUUGAGAGGCUAGUUAAGGAUCAUAUCACCUCCACCUUACCUGUCACCCUAGACCCAUUUCAAUUUGCAUACCGCCCCAAUAGGUCCACAGACGAUGCAUUCACCAUCACACUGCCCUAUCCCAUCUGGAGAAGAGGAAUACCUACGUAAGAAUGCUGUUCAUCGACUACUGCUCAGCAUUCAACACCAUAGUACUCUACAAGCUCAUCAUUAAGCUUGAGGCCCUGGUUGUCAACCCCACUCUGUGCAAUUGGGUCCUGAACUUCCUGACGGGCCGCCCCCAGGUGGUGAAGGUUGGAAACAACACCUCCACUUCGCUGAUCCUCAACGCUGGGGCCCCACAAGGGAGCGUGCUCAGCCCCCUCCUGUACUCCCUGUUCACCCAUGACUGUAUGGCCAUGCACGCCACCAAUUCGAUCAUCAAGUUUGCAGACGACACAACAGUAGUAGGCUUGAUCACCAACACUGACGAGACAGCCUGUAGGGAGGAGGUGAGAGCACUCCGAGUGUUGUGUCAGGAAAACAACCUCUCCCUCAACGUCAAAAAAACAAAGGAGAUUAUCGUGGACUUCAGGAAAAAGUAGAGGGAGCACCCCCCUAUCCACAUCGACGGGACAGCAGUGGAGAAGGUGGAAAGUUUUAAGUUCCUCGGCGUACACAUCAUGGACAAACUGAACUGGUCCACCCACACAGACAGUGUGGUGAAGAAGGUGCAACAGCACCUCUUCAACCUCGGGAGGCUGAAGAAAUGUGGCUUGUCACCUAAAACCAUCACAAACUUUUACAGAUGCACAAUUGAGAGUGUAACAGUAUAACUUUAAACCGUUCCCUCGCCCCGACACGGGCGCGAACCAGGGACCCUCUGCACACAACAACUGACACCCACGAAGCGUCGUUACCCAUCGCUCCACAAAAGCCACGGCCCUUGCAAAGCAAGGGGCAACACUACUUAAGUCUCAGAGCAAGUGACGUAACUGAUUGAAAUGCUACUAGCGCGCACCCGCUAACUAGCUAGCCAUUUCACAUCCGUUACAAGAGCAUCCUGUCGAGCUGUAUCACCGCCUGGUACGGCAACUGCACCGCCCACAACCACAGGGCUCUCCAGAGGGUGGUGCGGUCUGCACAAUGCAUCACCGGGGGCAAACUACCUGCCCUUCAGGACACCUACAGCACCCGAGGUCACAGGGAGGCCAAAAAGAUCAUCAAGGACAACAACCAGCCGAUCCACUGCCUGUUCACCCCGCUACCAUCCAGAAGGCGAGGUCAGUACAGGUGGUUCUGGCUGAUGACCUGUCUCCAUAGCUGAGAGAAGCCAUGGUGGAAUAUCACUUCGUUCCCAACAAUACUGCUAAUAUUUCUAACUGUACCGAUGAGAAAGAGUAGGGCAGACUUAUACAAUUACAAUACAGAAAUGUUCUUGCUCUUUAGUGAAGUUCUGCCAAUCAUAUGUUGGAAACCAUUAUCAAGGAAAACUAGUUGAACACUUUUUGUGGAAAUUUCAAUUUGUUUCUUGAACACCAGUGAUUCAUCUAAGGACAAUAAAUCUUGCCUGUAGGAAAAUGUCUAAAUGUACAAUAAGGGGUAUAUCCUUAAUAAAAUAAUUGAUGGUUAA